AAUAUUGGACAAUGGGGGCAACACUGAUCCAGCCACGCCGCGUGUGUGAAGAAGGUCUUCGGAGUGUAAAGCACUUUAAGUUGGGGGGAAGGGCUAUGUGCUAAUACCCUUCAGUUUAGACGUCACCAACAGCAUAAUCACCGGCUAACUCUGUCCCAGCAGCCGCGGUAAUACAGAGGGUGCAAGCGUUUAUCGGAAUUACUGGGUGUAAAGCGCACGUAGGUGGUUCAGUAAAAUGGGUGUGAAAUCCCCGGGCUUAACCUGGGAACUGCUUUCGUAACUGCUGAGCUAGAGUACGGUAGAGGGUAGUGGAAUUUCCUGUGUAGCGGUGAAAUGCGUAGAUAUAGGAAGGAACACCAGUGGCGAAGGCGACUACCUGGACUGAUACUGACACUGAGGUGCGAAAGCGUGGGGAGCAAAC
rnacentral:rRNA from 1 species